rnacentral:lncRNA from 1 species
GAGCUGCGGCGCGGAGCCUGCGUGCGUACUACCGGCGAGGAACUGUGCAACGGCCACGGGCUCUGGGUGAAGCUGACCAAGGUACUCCCUGGCCUGCCCUGGGCCCCGCAAAAGACCCCCGGCGCCAGGGAAGCCCCAGGCUGCUCCCUUCCCAUCCCCCAUAUUGAGCCAGCAUUGCGUUCCGUGUCCUUUGCCUUGGGCUGGGCAGGGCGGGCCGCUGGGCAGUUCCCUGACGGCUGUCCCCAUGUCGCGCGUCUCGGCAGGAGCAGCUGGCAGAACACCUGGGCGACUGCGGGCUGGACGAAGGCUGGCUGCUGGUGUGCCGACCGGCGGAGGGCGGGGCCCGCCUCGUACCCAUCGACACUCCAGACCACCUCCAGCGGCAGCAGCAGCUCUUCGGAGUGGACUACCGACCGGUGCUCAGAUGGGAACAGGUGGUGGACCUGACAUACUCUCAUCGCCUUGGAUCAAGGCCCCAGCCAGCCGAGGCAUACACCGAAGCUGUACAAAGAUUACUCUAUGUGCCCCCGACGUGGACCUACGAGUGCGACGAGGACCUGAUCCACUUCUUGUACGACCACCUGGGCAAGGAGGAUGA